CAGCAGCCGCGGGAAUACGAAGGGGGCUAGCGUUGCUCGGAAUGACUGGGCGUAAAGGGCGCGUAGGCGGAUUGUUUAGUUAGGCGUGAAAUUCCUGGGCUUAACCUGGGGACUGCGCUUAAUACAGGCAGUUUAGAGUGAGGAAGAGGGUUGUGGAAUUCCCGGUGUAGCGGUGAAAUGCGUAGAUAUCGGAAGGAACACCUGUGGCGAAAGCGGCUCACUGGACCAUUUCUGACGCUGAUGCACGAAAGCUAGGGGAGCAAACAGGAUUAGAUACCCCUGUAGUCCCUGUCUCUUAUAA
rnacentral:rRNA from 1 species